rnacentral:tRNA from 1 species
GGAUGGGUGCCCGAGUGGUUAAAGGGGGCGGUCUGUAAAAUCGCUGGCUUUGCGCCUACGUUGGUUCGAAUCCAACCCCAUCCACCA